GACGAACGCUGGCGGCGUGCUUAACACAUGCAAGUCGAACGGAAAGGCCCUGCUUUUGUGGGGUGCUCGAGUGGCGAACGGGUGAGUAACACGUGAGUAACCUGCCCUUGACUUUGGGAUAACUUCAGGAAACUGGGGCUAAUACCGGAUAGGAGCUCCUGCUGCAUGGUGGGGGUUGGAAAGUUUCGGCGGUUGGGGAUGGACUCGCGGCUUAUCAGCUUGUUGGUGGGGUAGUGGCUUACCAAGGCUUUGACGGGUAGCCGGCCUGAGAGGGUGACCGGCCACAUUGGGACUGAGAUACGGCCCGGACGCCUACGGGAGGCAGCAGUGGGGAAUAUUGCACAAUGGGCGGAAGCCGGAUGCAGCAACGCCGCGUGCGGGAUGACGGCCUUCGGGUUGUAAACCGCUUUCGCCUGUGACGAAGCGUGAGUGACGGUAAUGGGUAAAGAAGCACGGGCUAACUACGU
rnacentral:rRNA from 1 species